CCUACGGGUGGCUGCAGUGGGGAAUAUUCGGCAAUGGGCGCAAGCCUGACCCAGCAACGCCGCGUGCAGGAAGAAGGCUUUCGGGUUGUAAACUUCUUUUCUGAGGGACGAAGAAAGUGACGGUACCUCAGGAAUAAGCCACGGCUAACUACGUGCCAGCAGACGCGGUAAUACGUAGGUGGCAAGCGUUAUCCGGAUUUAUUGGGUGGAAAGGGCGUGUAGGCGGGAAAGCAAGUCAGAGGGGAAAACUCAGGGAUCAAACCUGAGCCUGCAUUUGACACUGUUUUUCUUGAGUGCUGGAGAGGCAAGCGGAAUUCCGUGUGUAGCGGUGAAAUGCGUAGAUAUACGGAGGAACACCAGAGGCGAAGGCGGAUUGCUGGACAGUAACUGACGCUGAGGCGCGAAAGCGUGGGGAGCAAACAGGAUUAGAUACCCGAGUAGUC
rnacentral:rRNA from 1 species